rnacentral:tRNA from 1 species
GGUAAAAUGUCUGAGUUGAGGAGAUAAAUUGUAAAUUUAUUAACGAGCUAGCUGCUCUUUUACCA